CAGGCUCACUUGGCAGCAUUUUAGAUUAGCUGAAGCAUCUUCGAUAAAUUGGCUGUCUUCAGCUGUCAGUUUAUUAGCAGCUUAUCAGCUUAGUUGUCAAGAUGGGUGGCUGUUGGUCAUGUGUGGCCUGCAGGUCUCACCCAGAGGCAGAACCAAAGAUGAAGAUGAAGAGGGGCACUGACAGGUCAUCCCAGAAACCCAACCCAUGUUGCACCAUUUUCUGGGGGACUCCCCAAUGUUUUGGGGGACACUCUGGGGAAAGAGCUCACUGAGGAACCCUCUGUGACAGAGGGUAUAGAUCAUAUAUAGAUCGAACGGCUCACAUCCCUGAAGAUUGGGGUCUUGCCAUUGUUGUCCGAAUACACAAAAAAGGAACGCGGGACGACCCAGGCAAUUAUAGACCAAUAAGUUUGCUCAGCGUAAUAAGUAAAUUGUAUGCAAAGCACUUAUGUAUCAAGCUGUGUGUGUGG